CCUACGGGAGGCUGCAGUGGGGAAUAUUGCACAAUGGGGGAGACCCUGAUGCAGCGACGCCGCGUGAGUGAAGUAGUAUUUCGGUAUGUAAAGCUCUAUCAGCCGGGGAGAAAAUGACGGUACCUGAUUAAGAAGACCCUGCUAAAUACGUGCCAGCAGCCGCGGUAAUAGGUAGGGGGCAAGCGUUAUCCGGAUUUACUGGGUGUAAAGGGAGCGUAGACGGCAGCGUAAGUCUGAAGUGAAAUGCCGGGGCUUAACCCCGGAACUGCUUUGGAAACUGUGCAGCUAGAGUGCAGGAGAGGUAAGUGGAAUGCGUAGUGUAGCGGUGAAAUGCGUAGAUAUUAGGAGGAACACCAGUUGCGAAGGCGGCUUACUGGACUGUAACUGACGUUGAGGCUCGAAAGUGUGGGUAUCAAACAGGAUUAGAUACCCGAGUAGUC
rnacentral:rRNA from 1 species